rnacentral:tRNA from 1 species
GGUGGUAUGGCUCAGUGGUAAAGCACAUGCUUAGCAUGCAGAAGGGCCUGGGUUCAAUCCCCAGUACCUCCA